GGACGCCAGUUCAUGUGGAGCCAACGUUGAAAUACCACUCUGGUCGUACUAGAUGUCUAACCUAGGUCCGUUAUCCGGAUCAGGGACAGUGCCUGAUGGGUAGUUUAACUGGGGCGGUUGCCUCCUAAAGAGUAACGGAGGCGCCCAAAGGUUCCCUCAGAAUGGUUGGAAAUCAUUCGCAGAGUGUAAAGGCACAAGGGAGCUUGACUGUGAGACAGACAUGUCGAGCAGGGACGAAAGUCGGGACUAGUGAUCCGGCACCUACUUGUGGAUGUGGUGUCGCUCAACGGAUAAAAGGUACCUCGGGGAUAACAGGCUGAUCUUGCCCAAGAGUCCAUAUCGACGGCAUGGUUUGGCACCUCGAUGUCGGCUCGUCGCAUCCUGG
rnacentral:rRNA from 1 species